CAGCACUGUAAGAGGUACAAAUAACAAGGACAUGCACCUUACCUAUGCACAAACCAUCAUAGUAAUAGCUGCCAUGGAAGGUUAUGAUCUCAAAGAGAUCUGUUCAAGGUAGUAAACUUGAAUAUAACUGUGUGUGCCACAGAAGACACAGACACAUGGACUACUCAAAAGGACAAAAGAGAACAACUAGUUCUUUUGCUCUUAACCAUUAACUGUCUCCCAGAGAAUACUGCAAAUACACUAUGAUCACAGCUUCAAAACACACAGUUAUGAGUUUACUGAUUACUUGUCUUCAUUUUCACAAUGUGGGCCAAAAUGCUGCUUUCACUAAGCUUCUUCCCAUGUGUGGGUGGAAACCACUAGUUCUCUGUAGACUCUUGGUUUAUUCUUUGGUGCAUUGUUGUCAGUUGGUCAGUCCACUUCCCUUUAAGAACAUGAGAGGUAUCAUUCCUGUAGGAGGAGAGGGUAAACCAAAAAUAAACCAGAACAGAUCCUGUGGAGAGUGAAAAUGGAGCUGGAUGUGUAAAUCAGGAUUAAACUGCAAAACCAAAGCAGAAAUACAGUUCUUUGUUAUCCAGAAAUUCUUUGAGCCUAUGAUAGUAUAGUUUCUUCUCUCUUGGAAUAUCUCCUACUUAAUUUGUCCUGUUGAUUGCUUUUUGUGCUCCAGAAUGUAAGACAUAUAUGAUGAACAUAUCAUGGAAAAGAUAAAGAGCUUGUGCAAUUCUGUUACUCUAACACUAAUAGUUGAGUACAACUUUAUUUCAAAUUAUAGGUUGAUUCUCUGGUUUUGUGGCCAUAUCACUUCAGAUCACUCUUUUUCUCCUUAUUCAGAUCCUCAUUCUGUAUUCUAUAGCCUACCAGAAAGUUUUUAUGAGAUCCGCUUGUAUAAGGAGAAAAAUGUAUAAUUUGCUAUCAUAAUGUUAUGAAUUCUAGAUACAUACAUUAGAAAAAGUUUUCCCAACAUAUGAUUUCACUGUGUAAAACUGAUAGCUAAUUGAAAUAGAACAUUUUAUAAUAGAUCCAAAAUACCUGUAAAUUGCCUACCUAGUACAGACACGGUGAAUAAGAAGCAAUGAUUUUGAGUUAAUUGAUGAAAAUAAAGGAAAGUUGUAGCUAGCUAGAGAGUUGAGGCAGAAUUCUGCCUGCUGGUGUGAAAAGGGGUCAGUGGCCAGGAUUUUCUUUGCCAUCUGAGCUCCUGAUAUUCUCAAGUAGCUUGAGUUGUGAAGAGUGCUUAGAGAGAGCAAUCUCUCCACAGUGGAGAGCAUAAGACCUACACAACCUUCCUGCAGCUCCUGUUGAAUUACUCAAACACUGUCUGGGCAUACUGGCCCCUUCUGCAAGUAACAUAUACUAUUUUUUCCCCUAGGUUUUUCAUUGGCUUUCAAGUCCAAAGGGUAGGCAGGAAGAAGGAAUUGCUCUUUCUGGAGCACCCUUGGCUUAAUAUGUUUUGUUUUUUUCCUCUCCCUUUUUUUUUUUUUUUCCAGAGCAAUUGUGUCCCCUCCCUUUAAUCUCUCUCAGUAACAGGGAAUGUAGAAGCUGCCUGUAACAAUACUAGGCAAGCAUUUUUCCAUUCCAAACAGUGGAACAGAGUCUGAUGGUACCCCUCUAAAGAAGUAUACAAAACCUUUAGGUGGCAGCCAAGGGCUACAGUUUGAAUCCGUAGAUUUAUUGGUUGUGUGGUUUAUGGUCUCUGCUUCAGGUGGCAAAGAAGGUAUGAUGACAAAUGAAUUUCUAAUCCAUCCAGAAGUAAAGCAGAAGAAAUUUCACACAGGUAAAACAAUUUUUAAAAAGCUGGAUAUGUCUGGAUAUACAGAAAUGCACCUGGAACCUCUGUGGACUUCUGCCACCCUCUGUUUCGUUCAAAAUACUUUUAAAAGCACACCCUAAAGCUUAACUAACAUCAUAUCUCUAUUGAUACAUUUGUUAGAAAAAUGGCAUUCAAUAUAAUGCUUUCAUGUUGUAUUCAGAACAUGAAUGAUAAUGUGUGUCUGGACCUGGGAGGAGGUUGGAAACAUUUGGUGGUCCCCUGACACGCACCUCCUCUGGCACUGUAAUGCCUCAACAAGUUUCCUGGGCAAUUUGGGGCAUGCUGUGGAAGACUUCAUGCCUAAAGAUGGUCAUUCAAAUGAUAUCUUCAGAAAUUGUAAUUCAGGCUUGUUAUCCCCAUGCCACUCUAAAACAGAGCUUUGUGAUGUUACGUAAAAGAAAAAAAGAAUGGACUUGUCAAAAUCCCGAGGUUAGUUUGCUGCAGUUAUGUAGUAGCCAUGUUGAAAUUCUGCUGAAAUAUAUCCUUACAAUGUGUUAUUAAGUCAUCUAAAAAUAUCAAAAUAUUUGGCGAUGAAGGUAAAACUAUUUGAAAGAAACUGUAGACUCCAGAGAAUUUCUUUUAGGCAAGAAAAUGCAUCUUUGUUUUUACAAAUAGCUGCACAAUGAUACCUUUUGGUAUAGAAUUUACUUUUUAAAAAACUUACUGUCAUUUUCAUGCAAGAAAAUAUAGCCACAUUUUAUUAUGUAUUCGGGAAGUGAAAACCAGAAAAUGAGAGAUUUACAAAUAACCUCAUCUGUUUAUUAUACUGUUCCCAAAUUUUUCUUUGUCAUUAGCAAUCACAAGCAGCUACAAAUCAUGUUGUCCACCUCUGCAUUCUCAUGCAGCAUGCAUCAUCUCAUCAUUGUACAGAUAGGCUGAAGUAUUGAACAUUGUGGUGCCAGGAACUUACACCCGUGCAGAACAAACAUCCAAGUUCAGCAGUGAGACAAAUACUUGUACCCUGAUUGCACACCAAAUGUUAAAAAUCAAGUACUUUAACUUAAAUGACUAAUGGUUCAAUGACUAACAAAAUUGGUUUACAUCAAGAUUUGCAUUAGAAUAUAUAACUUCUUUUCACAGUGUUUGUGAAUGUGCCAGGUCUGUCUUAGUGUGUAGGUAUUUAUUAGGUAAGAUGCAGUUUUUCUCCCUUUCCUUUCUCUGUUUUCACAUUCUCUAUUUUGUGUGAACCCAUGUAAAUGACUGAAGCCAUAUGUAAGUACCAUUUCCACUAUUUCUGAAUCUUCAGGUACAAGCAAGGCUCUCUCCAGAAGACUUCCAGCUGUUUAACACACACUUGGACUAGAGCUAGUACAUCUGCCUCCCUGCAGAGCCUGUUUGUUGGUUUGUGUCUAGUUAGCUCUGAGCAGAAGCAGAAUGAAAGGAACAAGUGACUGAGCCUGGCCUUUCCCACCUGUGGAGAGGUGCCCUGCUUUUCUUAUUAAGGUUGUAUCCCCUUCCUCUUUUUUGUUGCUGCAUACUAGUUCACCUCCCAUGGGGUAGAAAAGGGCAGACAUGCUUUACAAAUUCUUUGCUUUUUAAUUAUUCACUCCCAUCAUCAGGCUAAAGCUUCCUCUCAUCAAGUUCCUACUUGACUAGCUACAAGAUGUCUGCAUUCACCUCCAGGAAGCAAAGAAAGAAUAAGGCAUCUAAUUCACAUGGUUGAAAUUACUUAGGAAACAGAAUGGUCUGUGCUGAUGUGGAAUAUAGCCAAGAUACUAUAAAAGAUGCCCUUGUUAUUCAAGAGGCACCAGCAGAUGUUUACAUGAUAAAAAAGAUAAAGACAAAAGUUUUCCAGUCAGGAGACACCCACUCCUCUUGCAUGUAUAUUCCUUAUUACUGGCAUUUUGUUUGUUCAUCUAACAAAACAUAGGAGGCUGGCUUACUAAAAGCUGAGUUACUAAAUGAUCUACUUACUUUUUUUGUUAAAUAAUUUAUUACUGCAUAAACAUAUUUUUUUCCAAUUAAAAAAUGCCCAUCACCUCCUAUUCAGCUUUGCAGUCUCUCUUGGUGUAAAUUUUCUUUGGAGGCUCUGUCUCGUGACACUGGUUUUGUAAGUGACACUGACCAGCUGGGCAUUUAUCCACUGUCUCGUGCUGAGCCACAUGGAGAUGUUUUGUGACACACUUCCCUACCUGGGGAAUAUCUGGGAUAUGGGGGUGGUUUAAAAUGUUUGUUUGAGUAAGAUGAGAAAUGAUCUCACAAGUUGCCGGAAAGGAGCUUAGUGCAAUGGGAGCUAAGAGAGGACGUGUCCAGUAUGGUGAAGAAGGAAUUACUCAUCAGCUCAUAUAAAUAACAAUAGCAGGUGUGGGUAAUUGCACUUUAGUAAAAUUGUAUUUGAAAGCAGUUAAGUUGUAGUUUCUUAGCAACCGCGGCUGACAGCCACAUUUUACGUGGCCAAGGCUUUUCAAUUAUGCAACACCCAUACCCUGCUAUGCAACAGCAUUAAAUGGGGAGAAACACCAAAGCAGAAGUAUUUUUACUCUCUAAACAGAAACACAACAGAAGGCCAGAGCCACAGAGCAGGUGAUGAAGUAGAAAAAUCAGAAAUUACAUUUACAUUUCCAGGUGUCCAUAGAUUUCUCAAGCAGAAGUACUGAUUUACAAAUAAGAGUGGACUCUUCAAAUGAAUAUGGUCUGCUAUACACUGAACCAAAAUUUUCAAAAAUGGCCUGGAAUUCAGUGUACCUCAAAACAGAGCAACACGAUUUUGGACAUUUGAUUCAGGCAGGAGCUGAUUUUCCCUCUAGUUCCCCCUGAAAUCAAGUGGAUUGCAAGUUGAAAUCUGAAGAUGGUUGACUAGUUCAGUACACACAUUACAAUGAUAAAAGCCACAUAUGCUACAUGGGAUUUUUUCUUACAGAAAUCCAAUCUGUGUGCCAGAUAAAGCUGCCACACUUUUCUAUGUUUCCUUUUUCUUCUUUUUUUUUUUUUCUAGUUGAUCUAGAAAAGGUUGUCUAAAUAAUCUAAAUAAUGAUCUAAAUUAAUAAUUUAGAUUAACAAUAAAUCAUCACAGAUACUGCUUAAUUUCUUAUUCAUUUUUUCAUUUUGUGGAAUAGGAACGUAUUUCUUUCUUUUGAUACUUUUACUCAAAAUGAACGAUACCAUCUUUCUUCAGUAGCUAUUUCUCAGUUACUCUUAUGUCAAGGAUAUUUUUCUGAAUGAUAUUUAGAAACCACUUCCAUAAUUGUAUGUGCUGUUUAUUUAAGCCAUGUAGAAUUUUAAAGUUGUCUCCAUUGGCUGAUGGCAGGGCACCUAUCCCAUAAAGGAACAUGUUUUUAUAAUUAAAAGAGAUACUGCUGUCUCUACACAGCCUUUGCCUAUUACUGCCAAUUAAAUCAUUGACACUUCA